UUAAUCGGACUAUUACGAGCUGAACGAGCAGGGUGAGCUUUGGAUGAAUCGAUCUAUUAUCGGGCAAUUUUAUUGGGAAUAAUAAGGGCUUCCCUGAAUCAAAGUUUCAUAUCUGAAGCAAGUUUUCAACAAACUGCUCGAGGUUUAGCAAAAGCUCUAAGAGGUCGCAUUGAUUGGUUGAAAGGCUUGAAAGAAAACGUAGUUCUGGGGAUUAUACCUGUUGGUACCGGAUUUCAAAAAUUUGUGCAUCGUUCCCCACAAGACAAGAACCUUUAUUUCGAAAAAAAAUCUAUUCACGUUGGAAAUGAGUCAUUUUUUUUAUUCUCCAUAAACAAUUUUCUUCAGAUUGUGUAUUGCUAUAGUCCCCUUAUUUUUUUCCAGGGAAAAUGA
rnacentral:rRNA from 1 species